rnacentral:rRNA from 1 species
GACGAACGCUGGCGGCGUGCUUAACACAUGCAAGUCGAACGGAAAGGCCCCUUCGGGGGUCCUCGAGUGGCGAACGGGUGCGUAACACGUGAGUAACCUGCCCUUGACUUCGGGAUAACUUCAGGAAACUGGGGCUAAUACCGGAUAGGAAUCCUUGCUGCAUGGUUGGGGUUGGAAAGCUUCGGCGGGUUUGGAUGGACUCGCGGCUUAUCGGCUGGUUGGUGGGGUAGUGGCUUACCAAGGCUUUGACGGGUAGCCGGCCUGAGAGGGCGACCGGCCACAUUGGGACUGAGAUACGGCCCAGACUCCUACGGGAGGCAGCUGUGGGGAAUAUUGCACAAUGGGCGGAAGCCUGAUGCAGAAACGCCGCGGGCGGGAUGACGGCCUUCGGGUUGGAAACCGCUUUCAGCAGGGGCGAAGCUUGUGGUGACGGUACCUGCAGAAGAAGCACCGGCUAACUACGUG